rnacentral:rRNA from 1 species
UACGUAGGGGCCUAGCGUUGUCCGGAUUUAUUGGGCGUAAAGAGCUCGUAGGCGGUUUGGUUAGUCAGGUGUGAAAUCUCCACGCUCAACGUGGAGGAGCCACCUGAUACUGCCAUGACUUGAGUCCGGUAGGGGAGUGUGGAAUUCCCGGUGUAGCGGUGAAAUUGCGCCAGAUAUCAGGAGGAACACCAAUUGCGAAGGCAGCUCGCUGGGACGUUACUGACGCUGAGACGCGAAAGCGUGGGGAGCGAACAGG